GGGCUUCUGUUUCCAACAAAUACAAUCAGGGUGAUGGUUCCACUGUUUCAAACAGUUCAAAGUUCCAUAUAGAAACUUUCUGCUGGUAUCUGGUAGAGAUGGUGGAGUGAAAUGAUAGAGGUGGCAGAAAGGGACACACACCCUGAAAACUGUUUCAGAAAGUUUCUUCAACAAACCAAGGAAGGAAGGAGGACUUCCACUUUGCCACAGAUAAAAAGGGCAUUGUGAGUCACUUCCUAUUCACAAGAUCAAGCCUUCAUAAGAAAAAUGAAGAUCCAAAGAAACAAUUAGACCAGAGUAUUUUCUGCUAGGUUUGAUGAAGAGUACACAAUGUGGAGGAAUCUGACAGGUUAAGGAG